rnacentral:tRNA from 1 species
GCACUGCUGGUCUAAUUGGAAAGACUCAGCCUUGUCAGGGUUGAAAUAGGGGUUCGAGUCCCUUGCAGUGCA